GAGGGGGUAUCUUGCGGGUAUCUUGCUGUGCGUCGAUUCCUAGAUCCAGUAUGAAAAGUUUACAAUCCACAAGGCAGAUGGCGACGAAACGGAGUCGUUCGCAUUCGCUGUUAAUCAGUACUCGGAAAAUCGUAUCAAUUGAAAAUGCUUAGAGAUUGUAUCUGAACUGGUCAACCCAAAUCAAUACCAUUUAUCAAGAAGUGAAGUAACGGAAUCCAUCUCUUUUGUUACCAGCACCCAUUCCUUGGAAAUGUCAACUGCUGAUAAGCAAAAGCAGAGCAAUAAUUCCGAUGUCAUCUCCUACAACAGUGAUAACGUCAGUCAUCGCGGUAGUCUUCAAGGCAGUCUACGUGACAAAUAUUAACUCCCACAGUUUUAAUUCAAAUAAUAUAUUUUUUUUUAUUUUUCA